GACGAACGCUGGCGGCGUGCUUAACACAUGCAAGUCGAACGGAAAGGCCCUGCUUGCAGGGUACUCGAGUGGCGAACGGGUGAGUAACACGUGGGUGAUCUGCCCUGCACUUCGGGAUAAGCCUGGGAAACUGGGUCUAAUACCGGCUAGGAGCCAUUUUUAGUGUGAUGGUUGGAAAGUUUUUUCGGUGUAGGAUGAGCUCGCGGCCUAUCAGCUUGUUGGUGGGGUAAUGGCCUACCAAGGCGGCGACGGGUAGCCGGCCUGAGAGGGUGGACGGCCACAUUGGGACUGAGAGACGGCCCAGACUCCUACGGGAGGCAGCAGUGGGGAAUAUUGCACAAUGGGCGCAAGCCUGAUGCAGCGACGCCGCGUGGGGGAUGACGGCCUUCGGGUUGUAAACUCCUUUCGCUAGGGACGAAGCUUUUUGUGACGGUACCUAGACAAGAAGCACCGGCUAACUACGUG
rnacentral:rRNA from 1 species